UACGUAGGUGGCAAGCGUUGUCCGGAUUUACUGGGCGUAAAGGGCGUGCAGGCGGUUCGUUAAGUGCAGGGUGAAAGCUCCCGGCUCAACUGGGAGAGGUUUCUGCAUACUGGCGGACUCGAGGGAGGCAGAGGAAAGUGGAAUUCCCGGUGUAGUGGUGAUAUGCGUAGAUAUCGGGAGGAACACCUGUGGCGAAGGCGGCUUUCUGGGCCUUACCUGACGCUGAGACGCGAAGGCGUGGGGAGCGAACCGG
rnacentral:rRNA from 1 species